GCGUGUGUGAAGAAGGCCUUUUGGUUGUAAAGCACUUUAAGCAGGGAAGAAGACUCCGUGGUUAAUACCCACGGACGAUGACAUUAGCUGCAGAAUAAGCACCGGCUAACUCUGUGCCAGCAGCCGCGAUAAUAGA
rnacentral:rRNA from 1 species